GGGUUGUAGCUGGCCUUCCGAGGCAUGUGCACGCCCUGCUCAUCCACUCUACACCUGUGCACUUACUGUGGGUUUCAGGAGCUUCGAAGCGGGGGCUUAAUUGCCUUCGCCGAGUUGUAACUGGGCCUACGUUUACCACAAACACUUUAAAGUAACAGAAUGUAAUCGCGUCUAACGCAUCUAUAUACAACUUUCAGCAACGGAUCUCUUGGCUCUCGCAUCGAUGAAGAACGCAGCGAAAUGCGAUAAGUAAUGUGAAUUGCAGAAUUCAGUGAAUCAUCGAAUCUUUGAACGCACCUUGCGCUCCUUGGUAUUCCGAGGAGCAUGCCUGUUUGAGUGUCAUGAAAUUCUCAACCUAACAAGUUCUUAACCGGACUUGCUUAGGCUUGGACUUGGAGGCUUGUCGGCUCUUACCAGUCGGCUCCUCUCAAAUGCAUUAGCUUGGUUCCUUGCGGAUCGGCUCACGGUGUGAUAAUUGUCUACGCCGCGACCGUUGAAGCGUUUUAAUGGCCAGCUUCUAAUCGUCUCUUGCGAGACAGCAUUCAUCGAACUCUGACCUCCAAUCAGGUAGGACUACCCGCUGAACUUAAGCAUAUCAAUAAGCGGAGG
rnacentral:rRNA from 1 species